CGGCGAGUGAGCGGCAACAGCUCAAAUUUGAAAUCUGCCCGCAAGGGCCGAGUUGUAAUUUGUAGAGGAUGUUUUGGGUACCGCCGCGGUUUAAUUUUCUUGGAACAGGAAGCCAAAGAGGGUGAGAGUCCCGUCUUGGACCGCGGUAGGGCUCGUGUAAAACUCCUUCGACGAGUCGAGUUGUUUGGGAAUGCAGCUCAAAAUGGGUGGUAAAUUUCAUCUAAAGCUAAAUAUUGGCCAGAGACCGAUAGCGCACAAGUAGAGUGAUCGAAAGAUGAAAAGCACUUUGAAAAGAGAGUUAAACAGUAUGUGAAAUUGUUGAAAGGGAAGCGCUGGCAACCAGACUCGAGCGCGGUGUUCCCCCUGGCUUCUGCCUGGGUUACUUCACCGUGUCCGGGCCAUCAUCAGUUUUGGGGGCCGGUUAAAGGCCUUGGGAAUGUAUCGUCUCCUUCGGGGGACGACUUAUAGCCCAGGGUGUCAUGCGGCCUCCCGGGACUGAGGAACGCGCUUCGGCGAGGAUGAUGGCGUAAUGGUUGUCAGCGAC
rnacentral:rRNA from 1 species